CGGCGGGAGAAAUUGACUCGACU
rnacentral:miRNA from 12 species